rnacentral:pre_miRNA from 1 species
CUUGAAGACUGGCAUGUUGCCUCAGAUUGUGAAGUCCAAGCUUCAGAGCUCUUUCCCAAAACCAAGAAAAUCCCCCUCAGCUUGAAAUCACAGCCUGAUUCAGGCUUCUUCU